GAUUUUCUUCCUUCUUGCAUCAUCUUUGCCGUUUUCUCCCCUGUCGCCUGACCCGUUUGCACAAACAUCACCGCCGAGCCCCAGGGCGUGGUUCUACCACGCUGCGACUCGCGUCUCCUAUUCUUCUCCCGCGACCACGUUACCCGUGCGUCGCAGACGCAAGUCUCCUCUCCCCCGUGCGUCCACCUCGUUGAGUUUGUCCUGGUCUGGCGAUGUCAGGUCAAGAUUAAUUCAAGGCUCCUAUACUGCUCCUAGGGUUUUUUCGCAGGGGUGAUGUGGUUCAAAUUUUCCUCCUAUUAGUUUCCUUGGGUUUGUGUGUUCCCCUUGUGAUUAGAAUUUCUUUUUGCAGUCUCUUUCUGGUGUCAUGUCUAGUGCAGGGAUAAAUAGUGCUAAUGUGAAGGAAGAAGAGAAAUCUGAGACAUAUAGUCAGAAUAUGACUGAAGCCAUGGGUGCUGGGAGGUUUAAUUCUUUUGUCACAUGAUUGCUACAAACCGUAGCUUUGUUUGUUACAAUUUACAGUUCUAGAAGUCUAUGCAAUCUUCAUAUUCAUCUAUUAGUUUGGGUUAAUUGAAGGAUUUAAAAUGAUGCUUGUGGUCAUCAUAUUCUUGCAUUCUUUGAAUCUGUGUUUUUAGAUCUUUGAUAUUGGGUCCUUUCCGGUUCUGACUUAUAGGCACGAACUGGGGAUGGACUACAACUUCAUUCGUCCAGACUUAUUUGUGGGAUCACGCCUGCAGGGAAGCACUGUUAAAAUUAUGAAAUCCUUACUGCACCUUGGCCAUUGAAGAGAGUGAGAUUAUUUUCAGAUUGUAAACAUAGAAAAUAGCUUGAACAAAUAGAUAGGAUAAUUUUGACAGUUACGACCAUAAAAAAAUGACAUGUCAUGCCUUUCUUUUAUUUUGUAGUUGUUUCUUUUAGCAUUUGUUAUUUAUCUUGAUUAGAAAUCAGAUUGAUUUUCUUGUAUCAUUGUCAAACAGGAAAUUGAAGAAUGAAUUAUCAAAAACCCAUUUUGUGGAGACUUGUGGUCUUCCGAUUAGCACUUGUGGGCAGAAAUCAAAGGAAAUACUGUAGAGUUAGGAGAUUUACUGUUGGAAUAUCAGGCGGUAAAAACCUGGUAGCCAUUAUCCAAGCCUCUGGGAGCAUUAGUCGUGUCAAGAGUUCAUUAAGUGUGUCUAGAUCAGGUAUUAUUGCUGAACAGUUCGUUGAGAAGAUUCACAAAGUAAAAGGAUGUGCACACUGAACUUAUCCAGCACUGAAGGGCUCAGAUGAUAAAAGAGAGAAUCGUUAAAGGGGAAUUGAAUAUUGAUUCACCCUUGCAAAGUGAUAAAGGUUUAUGUCCUCUCUCGCCUGAAGAGGCUGUGAAGAACAAAGUAUCCACUUGGAUUGGCCCGCAAGUGUGAGAUUUUGUCAAGGAGUAGCAAAGGGAUUGACUUAUCUUCAUGAGGAAUCAAGAUUAAAAAUAGUACAUUGGGAUAUUAAGGCAACUAACGUAUUGCUGGAUAAGGAUGCGAAUGCCAAGAUCUUUGACUUCGGUUUAGCAAAGCUCAAUGAAGAUGAUAAUACCCAUAUUAGCACCCGAACAAUGUCUAUAUUAUGCCAUAUUCAAUUCUAUAUUUGAUUGCUCAUUUAACAGAGUCUAUCUUCACCACGCAUUUGCUUUAAUUUGUGAUGUAAGAUUUGGUAUUGCAUAAAGCCAUUCUUAUUCAAAUGAUCUUAGAAACAUCAAUAUUCCAUUUGUUUAGUAAAAUUACUAAUUCGCGGGUGUUGCAUAUUCUCUUUUCAA